ACUCAUAAAUUUUGUUUGUUUCAUAUAGUCGUUGAAAGGAAAGCUUUUGCAGGAUCACUUGAAGCAAAGGCAACUAGUUUUUGAAAAUCACUGUUCAAGAGGUUGAUGCAACCGAAAAUUGAUCAGUGUCCUUGUCAAUACCCAUAUACCAGAGAUUGCCUCUCAAAAGAGAUCUUAAAGAUUCCUUGCUAUUGGACCAAAUCAACACUGGCAGCCAGAGGUUGAUUGAAAAGGAAGCCCAGCCAUGUAAAUGACAUUGUUAUUUUGUGCUAUUUGUUCGACUCCGUGGAGCCAGACCACAGCCAUAUCCAAAGACAACUUAACACAUGGUACAGGACGAUGGUGUUAGGUUACUCGAAGCUCAGCUAAAUCGAUUAUGUGUUUCACAAGAAAAGCUCGUUCUAGGUUCAAAAUCACUGGUAAGCUACAUAAAACCAAAGCCGCCGAAAAGAACAGGGCACAUAGCCAAGAUCAGGAACCCAGCGAGAAGAAACUGCGGCAUUUCUUCACUUCUGAUCCCCUUUCUCUCUCACUCUCCCGACAACCCCACCUGUAAUAUAUCAAACGAAACCAAAAAAUUCAGAGAUGAAAAUCCAUGUCCGUGUCUUUCUGCAUCUUUGAAGCACAUAAAUACAAAGGCUACAGAGUCAACUAAGAAGACGAAGCGCAACUGAGAAACCCAGAGAGAGAGAGAGAGAGAGAGAGAGCUCUUCGACGACAACAAGCGAUAAACACAAUGUAAGUUCCAAAAUUGGAUUACGUUUUGUAUAAAAUUUUAACAGUAUGUGUCUCUCAUCGUCUUCUCCCAGAAAUCCAGCAAGGGUGGCAGCGAAGGCGACGGAAGCGUCGCAGGUGGUGGUGGUGGCAAGGAUGAGUUCAUUCUGCGAUGAGUUCUCUUGAACGCGAGACAAGUUCAACUUGUUUCGUUGAUAGUAGUUGUUUCUAGAAAUGCAGAAACAAGUUCAAUUUGUUUCAUCUGGGGCGUUUCUAGAACCAUAAAUAGGUAGAAAUUUCAAUUUCUGUUUCUGAAAACAAGUGAAACGAAACAAUUUUGUCAAACGUUUUUUAUUCCAUUUCUAUCAUUUUUGGAUAUAGAAAUGAUAGAAACGCGUUUCUUGAAACGCUAUCAAAUGGGCCUUUGGUAAUACCUCUCAUUUUUGUGCCCAAGAAAUGAACCAAUCCAAAAUAUCAUCUCAAGAUGGAUAUCAAGUAAUACCUUUUACUUCAUUCCCAAGAUGGUCUUCAAGGAUAAAAAAUUAAAUUGUUCCCUGUAAAAACCUCAAAACCUCCUCUUCCCUAAAACCUAAUAUCAGUUUGCAAAGGAGAUAAUAGCUGCUCUUGCCUUCAGCUGGACAACGAGCUUCGCCGUUGUUCCCUCCGGGAAGCCGACCUUGCCUCUACUCCUGAAACCCUCUGAACUCACCCCGACAUUCGCUUUCAGAUGAUGAGAAGAAUACCCUGCAGCAGUCGAGAUUCUGAUCUUUCAGGUAGGUAUAUCCCUCCCAGAUAAAAUUAGAAAAAAAUCGAUGCUUCUUCUUCCUUUCUCCUCAAUGUUCGCUGCUUCUUCUCUUUGUUUUUUUCUUUUUCCUUUUAUGGGCCUAUAAUGGAUGUGCGCAGUGUUCUUCUUGGGAUUUUUGAGUUCAGGAAAGGGAGAGACUUUACCCCCCACCCCUACGAUAGCAAACUAAAAGCCAAUUAACAACAGCAGGCUCUCAGUCUCAGUUGAGUUGCUGCUUUGGUUGAGGUCAGAAUAUCGAAAUCCAAAAUUAUACCCCCGUUCAGGUGCCUUAAUUAGAGAAGAGCCGUUGAAGAUAAUAACUACGCAGCCUCGUUUGAUA